AACAAACGCUGGCGGCGUGCCUAACACAUGCAAGUCGUACGAGAAAGGGUCCUUCGGGGCCUGAGUAAAGUGGCGCACGGGUGAGUAACGCGUGGAUAAUCUGCCCUUCAGUUGGGAAUAACUCAUCGAAAGGUGGGCUAAUACCGAAUAAUGCUGUGAGACCGCGGUUGAUCAGCCAAAGAGGGCCUCUGCUUGCAAGCCCUCGCUGAAGGAGGAGUCCGCGUACCAUUAGCUAGUUGGUAGGGUAAUGGCCUACCAAGGCGACGAUGGUUAGCUGGUCUGAGAGGAUGAUCAGCCACACUGGAACUGAGACACGGUCCAGACUCCUACGGGAGGCAGCAGUGAGGAAUCUUGCGCAAUGGGGGCAACCCUGACGCAGCAACGCCGCGUGAGUGAGGAAGGUCUUCGGAUCGUAAAGCUCUGUCGGAUGGAAAGAGCCGCAUAGGGGUAAACAGCCCCUGUGUCUGACGGUACCACCAAAGGAAGCACCGGCUAACUCCGUGCCAGCAGCCGCCGCCGUAA
rnacentral:rRNA from 1 species